rnacentral:rRNA from 1 species
CCUACGGGAGGCAGCAGUGAGGAAUAUUGGUCAAUGGGCGCAAGCCUGAACCAGCCAAGUCGCGUGAGGGAUGAAGGCUCUAUGGAUUGUAAACCUCUUUUAUAAGGGAAUAAAGUGCGGGACGUGUCCCGUUUUGUAUGUACCUUAUGAAUAAGGAUCGGCUAACUCCGUGCCAGCAGCCGCGGUAAUACGGAGGAUCCGAGCGUUAUCCGGAUUUAUUGGGUUUAAAGGGAGCGUAGGCGGGCUUUUAAGUCAGCUGUGAAAGUCUGUGGCUCAACCGUAGAAUUGCAGUUGAAACUGGUAGGCUUGAGUAUGGUUGAGGUAGGCGGAAGGCGUGGUGUAGCGGUGAAAUGCUUAGAUAUCACGAAGAACCCCGAUUGCGAAGGCAGCCUACCAAACCAUGACUGACGCUGAUGCUCGAAAGCGUGGGGAUCAAACAGGAUUAGAUACCCUAGUAGUC